rnacentral:pre_miRNA from 14 species
CCAUAGGCCCCGCCUCUCUGGGCUCACAGCAGCCAAACAGAAGCUCUGUCUUGUGACUCUCUAUGAGAAAGUGCUUCUCGUUCGGCUGAUUUGGGCACCGGGAAAUCGUCAGAACCAGC